rnacentral:rRNA from 1 species
AUUGAACGCUGGCGGCAGGCUCAACACAUGCAAGUCGAGCGGGGGAAGGUAGCUUGCUACCGGACCUAGCGGCGGACGGGUGAGUAAUGCUUAGGAAUCUGCCUAUUAGUGGGGGACAACAUCUCGAAAGGGAUGCUAAUACCGCAUACGUCCUACGGGAGAAAGCAGGGGAUCUUCGGACCUUGCGCUAAUAGACGAGCCUAAGUCGGAUUAGCUAGCUGGUGGGGUAAAGGCCUACCAAGGCGACGAUCUGUAGCGGGUCUGAGAGGAUGAUCCGCCACACUGGGACUGAGACACGGCCCAGACUCCUACGGGAGGCAGCAGUGGGGAAUAUUGGACAAUGGGGGGAACCCUGAUCCAGCCAUGCCGCGUGUGUGAAGAAGGCCUUAUGGUUGUAAAGCACUUUAAGCGAGGAGGAGGCUACUUUAGUUAAUACCUAGAGAUAGUGGACGUUACUCGCAGAAUAAGCACCGGCUAACUCUGUGCCAGCAGCCGCCGCCG